rnacentral:tRNA from 1 species
ACUUAUAUAGUUUAAAUAAAAACAUUAUAUUUUCAAUAUAAAAAUAAGACAUUUUUAUAAGUC